AUGGACGGAUGUGCGAUUAGCACUAACGGUUCUGGCAGCAAGUCAUGCGGGCCGCUGUCGGACUACCACAUUCCAGACUACAUACUAAAGCCAGACUCUGAACCAGUCAUCAUUGAUAAUGCACCAAUUUGUCCCGUGGUGGUCUUCAUCAACUCUAGAAGCGGUGGCCAACUUGGAAGUGGUUUGAUCAAAUCAUACCGUGAAGUUCUCAAUGAAGCACAGGUUUUUGAUCUCUCUGAAGAGUCCCCUGACAAGGUGCUGCACAGGUUGUAUGCCAACUUUCAAAGGCUAAAGUCUAACGGUGACCCUCUUGCUAUUCAAAUUGAGAAGAGCCUGAGACUAAUUGUUGCUGGUGGUGAUGGCACCGCAAGUUGGCUGCUUGGAGUAGUUAGUGAUCUGAAGCUUAUGCACUCACCCCCUGUUGCUACUGUGCCUCUGGGAACCGGAAACAACCUUCCUUUUUCAUUCGGAUGGGGAAAGAAGAACCCAGCUACUGACAAAGAGGCAGUCAAAUCCUUCCUUGGGCUAGUGAAAGAAGCAAGAGAAAUGAGCAUUGAUAGUUGGCAUAUCAUCAUGAGGAUGCGAGUUCCACAGGAAGGUCCAUGUGAUCCCAUUGCCCCGUUAGAGCUGCCUCAUUCACUGCAUGCGUUCCACCGUGUAACAGGCGCCGAUGAGCUCAAUGUGGAGGGUUACCACACAUUCCGUGGAGGAUUUUGGAAUUACUUUAGUAUGGGUAUGGAUGCUCAAGUGUCUUAUGGGUUCCACUCUGAAAGGAAGAAAAAUCCAGAGAAGUUUAAAAACCAGCUAACGAAUCAGGGUACAUAUGCUAAACUUGGACUUAAACAAGGAUGGUUUGCUCCUUCUCUAACCCAUUCUUCUUCAAGGAACAUUUCUCAACUUGCAAAGGUGAAGAUCAUGAAAAGACCUGGUGCCAAAUGGGAAGAGCUUAAAAUCCCCAGCAGUAUUCGAUCAAUUAUCUGUCUCAAUUUGCCAAGUUUCUCGGGAGGAUUCAAUCCCUGGGGAACUCCUGGCACAAGGAAGAAACAAGACAGAGACCUGACUGCGCCUUAUGUUGAUGAUGGACUCAUUGAGGUUGUCGGCUUUCGUGAUGCUUGGCACGGUCUCGUCUUGCUGGCCCCUAAUGGACAUGGGACUCGUCUAGCACAGGCUCAUAGGAUCCGGUUUGAGUUCCACAAAGGAGCAGCCGACCACACGUUCAUGAGGGUCGACGGCGAGCCAUGGAAGCAGCCACUCCCCAGCAACGACGAGACCGUCGUCGUCGAGAUCUCCCACCUCCGCCAGGUCACCAUGCUCGCCAACGGCCACUGCAAGUCAAAGAGUGUUGAGGACCCUAUGACUCCAUCAAGCCACGGGCAUGAGAACGACGACAGCGACAGCCUGGAGGACGAGGACGAGUGGAAGGAGGGGAGGAAGAAGUUUGGGGCUGCGGAUACCUUCAAGUUACCUGACGAGGUCGACAUCGCACACCUUAGCUGA
rnacentral:rRNA from 1 species